GCCAACUAGAAGAAAACAUGAGAACCAGUUGGUAAGCAAGUUUUCCUUUGAUGUGUGUUAGUAUAAAAACCCAGUAUCUGACAUAGGCAAAUUUCUAUCUUCUAACACACACACACACACACACACACACACACACACAAACUGCUUUUAAGAGAAAGUUGUCACUUGAGCAAAAACUUUCAUCUUUAGCUGAUCCAAUGACGGGAAGCUAUUUGGCAUAGACUUAGUAAAACCUUCACGCAAAACCAGCAGAGGAACUGCCAGAGCUUCCAUAUAGGGUGUAACUUGAGGAGUCAUCCUGAUGCUGGAAGAGCCGUCCAGCUUUCCAGAAGGAGGCCAGUAAAAAGCGGGGAGAGGUAAGGCUAAAUUGGGAAUGCUGAAGGGGAAACUGGUGCUUGUAAAUAUGCCUUCAAAUUUUAUCUUAGACUUCAAUCUUCACAUACGCCCACUCUAGAUUGGGCUGCUCGGUGUCAUGGUGAUUUCUUGAGAUAUCCAGAAAUCCUGCUUUUUUUCAGAAGUAGGUAUAUUUGGACUAGAAGAGAGUGAAAACCAGUAACACAUGAAAAAGUGACAGAGCAUAUUAACUUAGUAAUUUGUAUUAACUAAAUCUGAUGAAUAUAUGGAUAAUUCGUCUUUCAAUAAUCCAAAAUUUUCAUUUUAUCAUCAAAAUUCCCGCCAUUUUCCACGUGGUCUUUUAGAGGAAAAUGUUGUAAAUGUUUUCUCCUUAAGUUCCAAAGUGUCCACCAGAAGGGGGAGAGAAAAAAACCAAAUUUCUGGGAAAAUCUACUCACUUGGAAAUUUGCUUUUGAACAAUUGAGAAUUGGAUCCUCGUCCAUGAAAGUGAAACAAGAAUAUCAGCAAAUCCAGUGUGGGUUGACAUGCCUAAAGUUUUCUCUAAACAGCAACAUACAGUCCUUGCCGUUCUCUUUGUGCCCUGUAUCCAGUCUAGAGGGGGACCGAUGUAUCCUACUUUGGAAAAGUUGUUUGCAUUCCACACACUUGUUCUAUCUCUCUUUAAUGAAGACAAAGCACCACCGGUGGAAGAAAUCCUUGUCAUAGCCUCACCCCAAAGGGACCGGCAGGGUUUGACAAAGCCAACGCCCCAGUUAUUUAGCAUCCUUCAGAGAUGAUAAGAUACUCAGGAGAAGGUAUUCAGGACCCACACUUUGUGUCCUGCUACAAGAGAUGGCCAGAGACGGAGUACACUAUAGAGCGCCAAGGAAAUAAGGUAAAGAAUAAACUAGGUCAAAGGAGAGUUUGGUUUUCAACUACCUAAUGAGAAAUGACUAAAAUGGAGUAAAGAGGAGGGGUUCUCAAAUCACACAUAUGUUAUACUUAUCUACCAGGGAGAUUCAAUUGCCACUGAAGUUUAACAGAGAAUGAUUCCAGACAAGAGGUGUGCUUACUCAGAAGCAGAAAUAAACUGAAAUGCCUGUUCCAGUCUUGUGGAAGCAAAGGUGACAAAUGAUUUAUUGUUUUUGUUUCUACAGAUACUUCUCAAAUCUCAUCAUCAGGCGGCUGAAGGUAUGAAUAUUUUGAUUUCUAGCAAAAGUCCAGUUUGUAAAGCUCCCUUACCUUCUUGGAUCCACAAAACUCUGGCUAGCUAGACUUUGGAGCACAAGAAAAAUUUAUAUUUUAUAAUGUAUGUUUUGUGCCAAUUUAAACAUGCUCAGGGAAAUAACACUAAUUUGUCUUGGUAAGAAAGCUUCUUUGAAUUAGUGAAAUAUCUGAAUUAAGUUUUUUUAGAAGUGGGAUUUUAUAACUUUCUAUACAUAAAAAAAUUCGAGUUGAGCUAACAAUAUGUCACUCAGGGAAUCUAUUUAGUGAAUGCAGAAAGUUAUUUCAAUUAUGCAUACCAAAUAUUUACAUUUAGCUUGCAGUUGUAAAUUGUUUGUAAAAGUUUUUCACUUAAAUUGCUUAAAAAUUCUAUUACAAUAUUUUUAAAAGCCGAGAAUAUAUUUAAUAAGCUCUUCCUCCUCACCCUGCGGAACUUAAACUAUGUAAGUUCCUAUCCGAUGAGUCAUCAAUUAUAAUGAAGGCAUUCUAACUUUUCCUGAAAUAGCAGCUAUUGAGAUUGUGCUCCAUGCACUGUAAUUAAGUCUUAUACCUUGCGUGUGUAAAGCUGGACCCUACGUUAAACAUCUUAUCAGUGAAGCCUUCCCUGGUCGCCUCAUCUAAAAUUUUAACACCUCCUUAUCCUUGACAUGCCUCGUCCCCCUUCCCAGUGUUAUUUUUCUCUUCCACAUUUAUCAGUGUCUAACAUACUCUACAGUUUACUUUUUUUCUUAUUUGUUUAUUGUUUGUCUCCCACCCUUGACUAUAAGCUCCAUGAAGGCAAGAUACAUUGCUUGUUGGCUGUUAUAGCUCUAUCACUUGGAAUAGUGCCAGGAACAGAAUAUUUGCUCAAUAAAUAGUUGAAUAAAUGAGAUACGUCUGAGUUUUGACAUCUUUCCACAUAGAACACAGACAUGUAUUUGAGGAAUUACAGGUACACUUGGUUAUCAACCUACCAUAUUCCGCUGAGCUAGAAGAGAGGACUAGCCGAUGAGCAAGCCAGGUCUCUUCCUAUCCAGAGGAAUCGCUGAUGUGGAUAAAUUUUAAAAAAAGACCAUUAAGAAGAGGAAAAAGUAGCUGACUCUGACUGAAGGUUGAGGAAUAUUUCCAUGGAAACCUUAAUGUGAGUUAAAUCUUGAAGGAAGAGUAUUACUACAUUACACGUAGAGGCAAGUCCAAAUUAAAACAGGUCUUACUCCUAGGAGACACUACCAGAAAUAGUCAGGGUCUAUGUAGCUUUCCAAUUUUAUUCAAUCAACUGCCCUGAUACAAGCAUAAAAUUUGGCCAACCCUGCCACUAGUCUAAUCCCAUAAUCUAGUCAAUUUGACUUUAUUGUUUCUUCCCCAAACCAAUCCCCCAUAACUCAAUCACCUUCUCCAGUUAAUGUGAGUGCCGUGAGCUCUCUUGCACACACACGCACAUGGAUUCAUGCAUGCGCAGGGACACCCGUACACACAGAAUCUAAAGGCUUUAGUCUUAAAUUCUUCGAAAAUUUUAACAAAUAAGUAAAACUAACAUAAAGACUUCUCUCCACAAAUCUGAAAUUCUGACUUUUGAAAAAGCUUUUUUUAAUUACUUUUGUAAAGAUGAUAACCUCUUCUUGCCUUUAGUUUCCAAUGUGGCAACACUUCACUAAACUGAAAAGCUACUGCACUGUUUUAAAUUUCUAUGAAGAAGAAACCAGAAAGACAAUAGGCAGAUUACCUUCUUCUAAUCAGAGUUGUCUAGGAAAAACAAAGAUGCUACAAGCAUCAUUUCCUCAGAAUUAACCUAUGCAUGCUAAAGGUGGAGGCUGUUCCACUAGCCAUGAAAAUAGGUCCCAAACUAUGGCGAGGAAGUUUGUCCAGUCUAUAAAAAUCAAAGUCAUGGAUUAUGUGUGCCUUAUGCAAAUGUUAAGCAGUAUUACCACACUUCAAAAGAACUUUUUGAAGGAAAUUUUCCUAGUAUCCAGAAAGCAACCAUUUAUUUGCCCAAAAUGAAAACAGGUCAUGAUUUCAAUGUCCAGACUAUGUUUCACCAGCCCAGAUCCUCUCCAUAACAUCUAUGGGGGAUAUAAGAUGUAUGGCAACUGGUAGGACUCCAAUUCUGUCUUUCCUUCAUUGCGGGGCCUUUGAGAAGCUCCUCUGCUGUGGGUUAUUCAAUACAAGAACAGAGAGAAACUAUUUGAGAUUAAGACUUUUUCUAAUAUUUGCUUAAAUUGUGGACUUGAUUAAGUGAUACUAUCAUCUCUGCCCUACACCAAACCAAACCAAACAAACCCCUGUGAGGACUAAGAAUUUGGGCCAAUAGUCUAGGAUUUUUACAAGUGACUAUCAGAGUAGAAAUAAAUGACAGCAGCAAUUCACUUGGAUUAAAAUAAUGGAAGAAUUAGUCCUGGCUGAAGAUCACACAGAUUCCAAAAUGGACUAUCUCAAGCAAAUCUCUGUGUUCUGUGAGAUUCCCCGAAGUCACAGGAAGCAUUCUCAGGGACCCACCAAGUGGUCAAUCAAUGCCAAUUCCAUACUCUCAGAGCUUUUUCAAGAAAAGGGAACAAUAAUGUUGUCCCAAAUCAUUUAGUGUGCUCUGGGUCUGGAUAAGUUUGAACUUAGGAGAGACUAAUCAUUAUGGAUCUAAGUAUCUCAAAGAUGUAAGUCAUUCUCUGUUUUUGAAUGUUUUUGCUUUGUUUUUUGCACUCUGCAUAUGCAGAGCUCACACACAUAUACACGCAAAACCCUGGAGAGUUUUCAUUAUCUCCUUGUUAUUUUCCCCUCAACAUUAGGCUGAAAUGUCUGAUGACUUACAUGAAGAAGUUGGUAUUAUGGAAGUUGGUGGCACAGAUGUCUAUUUCUUCACACCCUACAGCUAUGUGUUAACAUAGUGAGAAACUGUUUAGCAUGUGAUGAGAUGCUUUGAGAUGGACAUAGAGGACUAGAUUAUUUCCAAAUAUUCUAGCAGAUAUAAAAAUAUGAGAGUUUCAGGGUAGCCCACUCUAAAUAACCAUCUCACUCUUGCCUGAAGCCACUUGAGGAGACAGUCUACCAGAUAUCUUGCUUUUGGCCUAAUAUCCAUUCAACCAUCUUUGUUCACAGAAUUCUCACGUGCAAUGCAUUUUUCAGUAGGAUCUGAGAGAAAGAGGGAGGGAGAGAAAAAGAAACUCUCUUUUCUGUUGGACAGAAACCUGGGGCCAAUUGGGCUUGGAAGUACUCGCCAUCUCAUGGAACCCAAGUAGAACUGCAAGAAUAGAGCAGUUAAGGUCUAUUAGCAUUUAUGGAGUCCCUGGAUCUAAAACUGGUUCUACCCCUACCCUUUCUGCUAGGAGAGCCAAAAAGCUUCCACUCCCUUUUUUAUUUGUUUAUUUAUCUUUUGGCUUAAAUCAAAUUUAAUUGGGUUUUCCAUCAUUGCACAAGAAGGAGAUACAGAUGGAGAAUAACUGAAUUGUCAAGAUCUGUUCCAAAAUUAAAGUUCCCAAUGUUCUUGAGAUAAUUACAUUAUAAACUGGGUGUGGUGUGUUUCACAAGCAAAAUUAAAAUAUGAAACAAAAAUAAUAUAAAACAUAAAUUAAGUUUGAGGAUAAAUUUUUUUAAAUCUGCAGUGUUCCGUCGUUGGAAUUAUGUUGUAAGAUGGAUGGAUAGAUAGAUGUAGACCGAGGCUCACUUGGAGGUCUUAGGUGAUACUGACCUUGUUUAAAUGUUUCUCGCCCUUGGAGAGAUGGUCUUACAGAGUAUAAACUCUUUCUUCCUUGAACAAAGCAUGUAGUAUUGUCUUGAAGCCAUUGGAAUUGAGGGUAUUGUGAAUGCCCUCACACUCAUGACGUCUAAAUUACAUGUUUUUCCUUUCUAGAUUAUAGUGGCAUACUAUAACAGUACAGUCUCUUAAUAAGAGAUACUAAGUAUCACUUUGGCUGAUAGAUUGCUUUUAGCAUUUAUGGUGCAGUGAAACUUAAAACAACAGAGAAAAUCUGUAGUGGGUGGUGACCUUUCAGGGAUGGUGUCGAAAUCUGGUUCAUGAUUAAAGUAGGGUGUGGUUAAGAGGGGCAGGGAUGGAAAAUUCUCCUUUGGCAACUUGGUAGAGAUGUGGGGUUAAACUGUUGAAACAGCUACAACAAUCUGUUGCCAGAAGAGAAAAAUAAAAACUCUAACAGCAACUUUAAGCUGUGCCAGGCACUAUCUUAAGUGUUUUAUGCGUGAUCCCAUUUAAUUCUAAAAGCAAUAUAGAUUUCAUAUCACUAUGCACAUGUUACGGAUGAGGAAGUGAAAGCAGAGGUUAAAGAACUAGUCCAAAGUUUCACAGAGCUCCAGUGGCAAAGGCCAGGUUUGAGCCCAGGUCUGUCAAAUUCCUAGCCUCAUGCUCCUACCAACUAAAUGAUAGCUCAUCCCUCUUGCCACUUCUCUAACACAGAGUAGAUUCGCAAACACUUCUCUGCUCCUUUGCAGGCACAGGACUUUUUUUUGACCCUGAUGAUUCUCAUACCAAAAUUUCCUUUGUUUGAAAACCAACAUGCACAAAAUAUUGACUAAUGAUCAUGGAAAAGUGUUUUAUUUUUCCUGAAAAUUUCCUUUUUCCCUGUCUAUCCUCAGUCUAGGCUAUCAUAAGGAAAAUGUUUUUUUCUCACCUGCUUUUGAAUUAGGAGAAAAAAAAUACCAUUUAAUUGUUUUAAGCAUAAAAUCCCAAUGUUCUUAACUGAUCCUUUCAAGAGAGUUUUUACAUCAGUGAAGAUUUUCAAAGCCUCCAAAAUUUAGAAAAGACAGAAACAGGAUCUGUGUUGGCUUAGGAGGCAUCUUUAGAUGUGUUUUGGAAAUCAUUGGUCUGUUGUUCAAAAUCUCCUGACAGCAUCACUAUUUAAGGAGGGUAGCUUUCUAGAAGAAGAAAUUCACCCUCAUAACUUCUUUGGGAUGGAUGAAGCGAAGCUUGACCCUGCUGAGGAAUGGCAAAUGCGCACUUUGGGAGAGUCUCUCACAGGAUACUUGUGGGUCUAUUUUUAUCUCUAACAGGAGAACAUUGUUAGCCUAGGCAAAUACCGGUUAAUACUGAGGUAUCUAGAGAAACGUGAGCAUCUUGUCCAACUGGAAUCAAUUUAAUUUAGAUUUUAUAUUGGUGAAGGUAAAUUGAUUUUUUCUAUUUGCUAAGUUUUUAAUGCAUCUUUAAACACUGGAGGUUUGUUUUACAUUAAAAUUUAAGGGCAUGGAAGGUUAUCAUUUCUUUGAAUUGAAAAGAAAGUUAACAAACAUAGGAAGUUUGAAAGAGAUAGAAGCUUACAUUGCUGACCACUCAGUUAUCACACACAAGCUACUUAUCUUUACGUUCAAACAUCUUCUCAGCCAAAUAGCUAAAAAGAAUUUCAAAAGCUAUUUGGUCAGCAUGCUUGUUGGCGGCGUCUUCCCUUUCGAGUAUCAUUCCCUGCUUGCUUUGUGCAUUACAUCAAAUCUCAGGUGGCACACUCAGGAGCCAUGUGCUCCAGGACAACACCCACAGGACGUACCUGUGCACUCACAGAGUGGGGCCAAAAGCCAAUGUGUUCCUUACUUGAUAUUUAUGUUAUCUUCCAGGCUGGUAGAAGUUAUUAUUCCAUUACCAUUAUAAAGGAUUUUCUGGCUGGAGAAAGCUAAAUGAAGUUGCUAUAAACUUCUAACUGAGCCUAGAAACCCAUACAGCAUUACUGAUGAUUGCUCUUUUAAUUAUUUGCAGAUGACCACAGCCCUAUCAGUGUGCAGAUGGAACGGCAGAUUUUCAACACCGGUUUUUCCUCUUCUUCUUUUUAACUCCCAAUUUGUUUGCUGGUUUCUUUAGUCAAGUUAACUUGGACUAAGGAGACUAGAGAUGCCAGUGACUGUGCAAAAGGGAAACUUGCAACUUACAUAACAAGCAUCAGAACCUUAAAUUUGGGUGGGACAUAGUAAUUACUCGAAUCAUCCACUUUCCUUCAAGUGGGCCCAUCCUUAGGCGGUGAAGGCUUUUCUCCUUACUGUAUAUCUACAUCUCUCUCUCUCUCUCGACAUAUCUUUUCAUACUUUAUAUUUGUAUAUAUCUGUAUAUAUGUGUAUGUGUUUAUCCAUGUGUAUAUUGUGUGUAUGUACAAUUGUAGUAGGCAAUUACAUGGUGGGGGGGGGUGUGCGUCUGUGUAUAUAGUGUAUGUAUAUACAAUUGUGGUAGACAGCUACAGUCAUGGCUUCCAAUGAAGCGUGCCUCCUCUUUCCUGUAUUCAUGCCUUGUGUAGGCCCCACCCACAUUGACUCUGGGCUCAAUGAGACAUAAUCAAGCAUGAUGCAAACAGAGGCUUGAUAACCACUUGCACCUUGGGGCUUAUCAUCUUGCAGUGUUUGCUGUUGGAGCCCUGAGCCACAAUGAAAAGUGGACUAUCUGGCCAGAGAGACUCUUGGAGAGAGAACGAUGCCGAGUCAGCCCUAGCUGUGACAGUCAGACUCUUGGAGGAGCCCCACAUGGGAGUCAAGAAGCACUCCUUAAGUUCAGCCCCUGUCCAGCCACAAGGUCUACCCACAGAAGCAUAAAAACAAUAAAAUGUUGUUUUAAGCUACAAAGUUUGAGUAAAUGGUGUGUCAAACAGUACUAGAUAACUGAAACAACCAUGAGUGUAUCUGUGUGUGACAUCCACUGAAAUUCUCCAACUUUGCUCUUGUAUUUUUGUUUUUAUUUUUUUAAUUAUAGGAUAUUUAAUAAGUAAGACAGAGUAAAUAAACUUUACUUGUACAUUUUAGCAUAAUUAACAAAGAAUUACAAAGCAAAACCUAUGUAAUCGCUACCUAGGUCAAGAAACAGAACACUGCUAGCACCCAAACCCAUCCCACCUCCUCUUUGCGCAUCACAACUGGCCCCCCAUUGGUAAACAUUGACUUGUUUUUUGUGACAUGAAUUGCUUAGCUUUUCCUUAUAGUUUUGCCACUAAAGUAUACAUUCUUAAACAUUAUGGUUCAUGCUUGUAUCAAACUUUCUGUGAACGGAGUCAGUGUGUAUGCAUUCUUUUAAGACUUGCUUCAUUUGCUGAACUUAUGUCUGUGAUACUCAUCCACGUUGUUGCACAUAGCUGUAGUUCAUUCAUUUUCACUGCUUCGUAGGCAUCCAUCAUGGGAACAUAAUACAGGUUAUGUAUCCAUUCCACUCUAAAUGGACGUUUGAAUUCUUUCUAUGAGCAAUUGCUGUUAGGAACAUGCUGUUAGGAAUGCCUUUAUACUUGCAUCCUGGCGGAGGAGUUUCUCUAUGGCAGCAGUUCUCAAAGGGUGACCCAGGGACUCCUGGGGCCCCCCAAGACACUUUCAGGGGUUCUGUGUGUGAAAAAUGAUUGUCAUGAUGAUAUUGGGGUUUUAUUUUUCCUUUCCAGUCUCAAUUUAUCACGAAUAUAGAGUGGAAUUUUCCAGAGACUACAUCAUGUGUGGUACUGCACCAGACCAAAAGCAGCAGCCAAUAUGAAAAUUCAGCUAUCUUCUAGGAGGCCAGACAUUAAAGGGAUUUGCAAAAAUGUAAAAUGAUGCCACUCUUCUCCCUAAAUUUUUUUUGUUUGAAAAUUUCAAUUAUUUUUAUUAAAAAUACCUUAUUUAAGUUGUAACAUUUACUUUUAAUAUUAUUUAAUAUCAUUUUUAAAUGAAUUAGUAAAUAUAUAUUUUGAAUUUUUCUUAGUUUUAAUUUCAAGUACAGUAAAUAUCUACAGAUACCACUCACAUAAACAAAGCUUGCAAUAAUUUUUAAGAGUAUGAAAGUGUCCUGAGACCAAAAAGUUUGAGAACAACCCCCCUGAGUCAGGAGGCAUAAAUAUCUUAAAAUUUAAUACAUAGUGUCAACCUAUUUUAUAAAGAUGUAUGCUUUUCCUCUAUCACUGUGUCAUAUAUGUACUCAUCAACACUUGGUUUUAUCAGAUUUCUGUUUUCAAUCUGGUAGAGUAUAAAUGUAUCUCGUUAUAGUUUGGUUUUGCAAUUCUCUAAUUACUAAUAUUAUGUCCCUUUCAUAGGUAUAUUGGCCAUUUAGACUUCCUUUUUAUGAACUACAUGUCCAUUUUCUCUAUUAAGUUGUCUUUUUCUUAUUGAUAUGUAAAAAUUUCAUACGUUCUGAAUACAAUUUCUUUGCCGAUUAUACAUGUAGCAAGUAUGUGUUAAAAGCACACCAUAUAUUGUCUUCUCAGCCUUUCCACAUUUUUUUGAUGAACAGAAGUGUUUAAUUAAACAUAGUUGAAUUUAUUGAUCUUUUACUUUAUGGCUAUUUAAAACAUUUCUUUCCUAUCCUGAAGUUAUUUUUGUUUACACAGAGUUAUUCCUGUUUACUUGAAGUUGUUCCUGUUUGUCUUCCUAAAAGCUUUAUAAUUUUUAUUUUCAAAUUUCAGCUUUAACUCGACCUGGAAUUUAUUUUUAUGUAAGGUCUAAUGUGGGUCCAUUUUCACUUAUUUCCCAUGUGGAUAUCCAAUUGAAGUGUCAUUUAUUGAAAAUUUAUUUUCCCCACAAAUCUCUACUGCCAUCUUUGUCAUCCAUCAGGCGCUGAUCUCUGAGUGGGCCUGUUUUUGGGCCUCUUUCUUCUGUUUCACUGGCCUAUUUGUUUGCCCAUGUGCAAAACCACGUUGUCUUAAUUACCAUCUUUGUAAUAAACCUGGAUACGUGGUAAAGCAAAUUCCUCCCACAUUCUUGUUCUUCAGAAGUGUCUUGUCUUCCUGGCUCCCUCUUGUAUUUUAAUCUUAUACUACUUCCUCCAACUAGCAAUAAUGCCAAGUGUGGGGAGCAGUACAUUAGGCACAACAGUAGACAAACAUUUGUUGAUAGUAGAUGAGUACAGAAGUGAAUAAUUAGGGCCCACAAAGAUCUUGUCAGUUUUUCGUCUAGUAAAUGAAGAACUAUGUCAAUGACUUCCCUUAGGAAUAAAUUUUACCUAUUAAUAAAGAAAAUAAUUGGAAUGGGAAAUUCCUUUUUGUUAGUCUGACUUGAUUUAUUUUACUGAAUCUGAAAAGCUAAGCAAAGGAAGAGACAAGCAUGACUUUCAUUUUUUUAAAUCUGUGGUUAGAUCCUUUAUUUAUACACAGAACUUACGCGGAGCUGGUGCACAGUAAGCACCCAAUAAAUAGUGAUUGCAUGAAUGAUCUUGACAUUAUCUUGAGUCAGAAUCCUGUAACUUAGAAAGAACCUCUAAAUAUGCUUCUAAAAAAUUUACUCAUUAAAAUAAAAUAAAAUAUUCAGACCUCUCCCCCAUUUAAAAAAAUGAUUUCCCUCAAUCUACUUUUUCACCCACACCAAGCUGCCGUCUUCUUUUACAAACGUUCACUUAAGAAUCUACUUCCUUACUGCUCUUCAUUCUCCAUCUUGUGAAAUUAGACUUCCACUCCUCUAAUUCUCCAGCCACUGCCAUCUCAAAGGUUAAAUAUCUCCAAGUUGUCAAAUUCAAAGCUUUUUCUCUGAUGAUAGGAUCCUUUAUCAAGGAUGAUAACUACUUAUAACAUAAUUCUACUAAGUCCCUUUUUCAUGAAUAUUUUGUCUUUGCUGAGGAAUGAUUGCUAGUAACGACUGGACACAGCUCAAACGCCAACAACUACACGGAGUCUUCCCUGAUCGCUUGGUCUGGAAAGUGAUCUCACCUUCCUUGGAACGCCUGCUUAUUUGCCUGAACCGUAAUUCCCGAAGUUGUGAUACAUAUUACACUAGUGUCCAGUUAAACUCUAUUAAUCAACCUGUGGAAAUCUCCAGCAUCAAGUUCUGCCCUAGGUUCUUGGUUUCUGAGUCCUGCUGCCUCCACUAAGCUCAGUUAUUUGACCAACUCACCACAGACUUACAUUUUCCUGGCACUGAGGAGAGAAGCAAUGGCCAGUCAUCAGCAAAUGAGGAUACAAUUUGUUAACUUCUUGGAUUAAAUGUCAUUGUGGCUUUCAAGACCUUUCGUGUUCAAAACAAGUUUGUGAAAACAAUCUCAACACUACGAAAACAAUCAAAAAUUCCCCCAGCUAAAUUAACUUAAAAAAAUCUUACCGAGAGUCACUUAAAUUUUCUAAGCCUUAGUUUUGUCAUCUGAAAAUAAUAGAUAAUAGUGAGAUUGACUUCAAGCAGUUUCUGAAAGAAUUAAAUGAAAUAAUUCAAGUAAAAAAUUUUAGCAUAAUGUGUAACACACUAAGUACUAAAAGAUGUUAGCUGUUUUUACUAUUAUCAUGUGAAACAACCAGCACAGUACUUGGCAUACUUGCUUGAAUAAACAGUAGCUAUUAACAUUGCUAUUUUUUAAAAAAAUCUUACUGAUGAAAUAAUAAGGAAGAUACUUUAAUCAAAAAUUUAGGGGCUUGACCAGUGGAAUAGUAGUUAAUUUCAUGUUCUGCUUCAGUGGCCUGGGGUUUGCGUUUGGAUCCUGGGUGUGGACCUACACACUGCUCAUCAAGCCAUGCUGUGGUGGCAUCACACAUAAAGUAGAGGAAGAUAGCACAGAUGUUAGUUCAGGCCACUCUUCCUCAGCAAAAAGAGGAGGAUUGCAGGGGAUGUCAGCUCAGGGCUAAAACAAUUUAAUUAACUCAAUGAACAUACACCCCAAAGUAGGCACAAUGCCAAAUUCUUAAUUUUUGGACACUGCCUAAUGUAUUUUUUGUUCUAAAUUAAUAUUAUCAGAAGUCUGGAUUCCUAUGUUGAGCUUGACUUUCUGGUUGGGAUUUGUUCUUAUGUAAAAAGUGUCACUAAAUGCUGAGAUUUGCUAAGACUUUAGUCAAGUACUUUCUCGCCAGGGAAAAGACAAUCAAAGAAUUAAACUGAGGCUCUGUGCAUUUAAAUAAAUGUUUCCAAGAACUAAAGAAUGCUCAGUUUAUUCACAACUAGUAAAAAUAACCUAGGGUAAAGAAAGAUGACCUAGGCAUCCUAUAUUCUAAAGCCAGACCCAC
rnacentral:lncRNA from 1 species